rnacentral:rRNA from 1 species
UACGUAUGGUGCGAGCGUUGUCCGGAUUUACUGGGCGUGGAGGGGGCGCAGGCGGCGCGCCAAGCCCGGUGUGAAAGCCCGGGGCUCAACCCCGGGACUGCAUUGGGAACUGGCGUGCUGGAGUGCCGGAGGGGCAGGCGGAAUUCCUGGUGUAGCGGUGAAAUGCGUAGAUAUCAGGAGGAACCCCGGUGGCGAAGGCGGCCUGCUGGACGGAUACUGACGCUGAGGCCCGAAAGCGUGGGGAGCGAACAGG